rnacentral:rRNA from 1 species
GACGGAUUCAUUCAAAUUUCUGCCCUAUCAACUUUCGAUGGUAAGGUAUUGGCUUACCAUGGUUUCAACGGGUAACGGGGAAUUAGGGUUCGAUUCCGGAGAGGGAGCCUGAGAAACGGCUACCACAUCCAAGGAAGGCAGCAGGCGCGCAAAUUACCCAAUUCCGAUACGGAGAGGUAGUGACAAUAAAUACUGAUACAGGGCUCUUUUGGGUCUUGUAAUUGGAAUGAGUACAAUUUAAACCUCUUAACGAGGAACAAUUGGAGGGCAAGUCUGGUGCCAGCAGCCGCGGUAAUUCCAGCUCCAAUAGCGUAUAUUAAAGUUGUUGCAGUUAAAAAGCUCGUAGUUGAACCUUUGGCCUGGCUGGCAGGUCCGCCUCACCGCGUGCACUUGUCCGGCCGGGCCUUUUCUUCUGGAGAACCGCAUGCCCUUCACUGGGUGUGUUGGGGACCAGGACUUUUACUUUGAAAAAAUUAGAGUGUUCAAAGCAGGCCUUUGCUCGAAUACGUUAGCAUGGAAUAAUAGAAUAGGACGUGCGGUCCUAUUUUGUUGGUUUCUAGGACCGCCGUAAUGAUUAAUAGGGACAGUCGGGGGCAUCAGUAUUCAAUUGUCAGAGGUGAAAUUCUUGGAUUUAUUGAAGACUAACUACUGCGAAAGCAUUUGCCAAGGAUGUUUUCAUUAAUCAGUGAACGAAAGUUAGGGGAUCGAAGACGAUCAGAUACCGUCGUAGUCUUAACCAUAAACUAUGCCGACUAGGGAUCGGGCGGUGUUUCUAUUGUGACCCGCUCGGCACCUUACGAGAAAUCAAAGUGU